GUGGCUUGCUAUCUAGGGAUUUUUAUACAAAUUUGAUGAGGCACUCACCUUUCAUUGGAAAUUCUCUCUUGAUUGUUCUCUUUCAGGAUAGUCAAGGAAGUCUGGGCAACAAGAGAAUGUAAAUAGCCUCAAAAAAGUAAAAUACCUGGGGAUCAGUCUAACAAAAGAAGUGAAAAACUCUACAAUUAAAACUACAGAAUACUAAAGAAAGAAAUUCAAGAAGACCUUAGAAGAUGGAAAAAUCGCCCAUGUUCUUGGUUAAGCAGAAUUAAUAUAAUCGAAAUGACCAAACUACCAAAAGGGUCAUACAUAUUUAAUGUAAUUCCUAUUAAAUUUCCAAGAUAUUCUUCAUAGAAAUCAAAACAACAGUCAUAAAAUUUACUUGGAAAAACAACAGGCCUGGAAUAGGCAAAGCAAUCCUUAGUGAGAAACUUGAAGCAGGAGUCAUAGCAGUACCAGAACUUAAAUUAUACUACAGGGCUAUACUAACGAAACCAGCAUGGUAUUAGCAUAAAAACAGACAUAAAGACCAGUGGAACAGAAUAGAAGACAGAGACAAACCCACACAAAUACAGUUAUCUCAUCCUAGACAAAUUUGCCAUAAACAUACACUGGAGAAAAGAUAGCCUCUUCAACAAAUGGUGCUGGGAAAACUGGAAAUCUGUAUGCAGUAGAAUGAAAUUGAACCCCUAUUUCUCACCCUGCACAAAACUUCACUUAAAGUGGAUCAAGGACCUAAGCAUUAGACCAAAGACCUGUGCGUGCUAAAAGAUAUGUAGGCUCAACUCUCCAUAAUGUCAGUGUAGGGGCCAACUUCUUUAACAAGACUUCUAAAGUGCAAGAAGUGAAAUCAAGAAUCAAUAAAUGGGAUGUAUCAAAUGAAAAAGCUUCUUCACAGCAAACGAUACAAUCAAGAAUGUGAAGAGAGAGCCUACAGAAUGUGAAGAAAUCUUUGCCACCUGUACCUCAGAGCAUUAAUCUUCAGAAUACACAAAUAACUCAAAAAACUUAACACCAAAAAAAAAAAAAACACAAAGAACCCAGUCCAUAAAUGGGCAAAGGAAGUAAACAGGCACUUCACAGAAGAAGAAAUAUGAACCACCAACAAGUAUAUGAAAAAAUGUUCAACAUCUUGAGCAAUUAGAGAAAUACAAAUUAAAACUACACUGGGAGCCAGGCAUAGUGGCACAUGCCUGUAAUCCCAGUGGCUUGGGAGGCUGAAGCAGGAGGAUUGUGAGUUCAAACCUGGCCUCAGCAAAAGUGAGGCACUAAGCAACUCAAUGAGACUCUAUAUCUAAAUAAAAAUACACACAGGUCUGGGGAUAUGGCUCAGUGGUUGAGUACUCCUGAGUUCAAUCCCUAGUACCAAACAAACAAAAAAACUAUACUGCGAUUCCAUAUCACUGCAGUCAGAAUGGCAAUUAUCAAGAAUACAUGAAACAAUAAAUGUUGGAGAGGAUUUGGAGGAAAAGGCUUACUUGUACAUUCCUGGUGGGAUUGCAAAUUGGUGCAACCACUAUGGAAAGGAGUAUGGAGAUUCCUCAGAAAACUUAGAAUGGAACCAUCAUUUGACCCAGUUAUCCCACUCCUCAAUAUAUACCCAAAGGACCUAAAAUCAGCAUACUACAGUGUCGUAGCCACAUCAAUGUUCAUAACAGCUCAAUUCACAAUAGCCAAGCUAUAGAACCAACCUAGAUGUCCUUCAACAGAUGAAUGGAUUAAGAAUAUGUGGGAUAUAUAUAAUAUUAUUCAGCCAUAAAGAAGAAUAAAAUUAUAGCAUUUGCUGAAGAUUAUCAAGCUAAGUGAAAUAAGCCAAUCCCCCAAAAAACCAAGGCUGAAUAUUCUUUAUGAUAUGUGGAUGCUGGCACACAAUAAAAGGGGUAGGGAGGGAAGAAUAGAAGUUCAUUGUAUUAGAAAAAGGGAAAUAAAGAGAAGGGAGCAGAGAUGGGAAUGGGAGUCUGAGAACCUCUUGAUAGAUACAUUGAAUGAAUCAGACAUAACUUCCCUAAGUGUGUAUAUGAAUGCAUGAUCAAGUGAGACUCCUCCUCAUGUACAACUGAAGAAUAGGAUCCUAAUUAGAAUAAGUUAUAUUCCAUGUAUGUGUAAUAUGUCAAAAUAUACUCUACUGUCAUGUAUAUCUAAAAAGAACAAUUUUAAAAAGAGAAUGUAUGGGUACCCAAGCAUGAGUUGGGUCUUCUACUCAGGCAACCAAAAACAAAAAACAAGCUUUAGCCUAGGGUUUUAAUCUAGGGUAGUAGGAUCCUCCUUCUUCAAGGUCCUCAUUUCUAUCUCCUGCCUCAUAGGCAUUUAGGUGGAUAUUUUUCAAAUGGUUAGAAAUGUUCAGAAAUCUGUAAUUGUUCUUUGAUGGGAAGAGUAAUCAUUAGGUAAAGGACUAAGUUCUGUGUGGGAGGCCACCUGUGAAGUCACUUGAGGGAUCUUUACUCAGUACUGAGCCAUGGGGGGCUUAGAUCUUCCCUUAGGGAUGAUCCCAGUUUUCCCCUGUGUAUCAGACUGGACAAGGUGUGAGAUCUCUGCCCCUGCUAUACUAGCUUCCUAGCUCCAGAGUUGGGCAUAACCCAUUGGAAACUGUGAAGUCCAUCUUCUACCUUAUUUGGCGAAGAACAUUCCAUGAAAAACAUUUGAUGUUCCCCCAUAUAAAUAAAGCAAGCGUGGGCUCCAUCUCUCUCUUUCUUUCCAGUGUGGAAGCUCGAUUUCUAAGAUCGAGAGCUGUCCUAAACCCGCUUUAAAAGAUUACUUCCUGUGUACCAUGGUUUUUUUCACUGUUUUCUCUUUAUUAGCUUUUAUUCUGUAGCAGUCUACUGAAGAAGAGGAUCCCCCAAUCCUGCCACCUGCGUGGGGCAUGCGUGGGAGUUCUUUUCAUUUAGAAUAAUCUUGUUGAUGCAAGUCAUCUUAUGAUGACAAAAUAUUAGGAGUAAUGUUUUCCUCUUUGUAGAAAGAUCCAUCAGAAAAAAUAUUUAAAAACGCUCUCUAUCUUUGAUGUCUCUUCUUAGUAAUUUUUAUUCAGUGAUCCCUCACUGUGUUCUUCACUUAUAAAUCACAAGAUGAUCUGCUGUAUUCAGAGUUGAGCCUGAUCUCUUCCCUGUUGCAUUGUCCUUAUUACAUAGUCUUGACCAAAGUUGUCCUCAUCAUUUUAACAAACUAUCAGGAUAGUUUGUUGUUGUUGUUGUUUGUUUGUUUUUGUUUUUGGGCAUUCUUAGCAUCUUGUAGGGGAAGAAAUGCAUAUUUUUCUCCAUCGGUCAUAGGUUUAUGGCUGAAGCCACCAUAUCAAACGACAGAUGAACAAAGAAAGUCAUGCAAAUUUAUUAAGUUUUAUUUGACACAGGAGCCUUCAUCAGGAAAUGAAGACCCAAAGAAA
rnacentral:lncRNA from 1 species